rnacentral:lncRNA from 1 species
UUUGUGAAUUCCUGAGUGGGCACCUUUGCAGCUUUAAAGGAAAGAAGUAGGAUGUCUCUGGCUCUUAGAGCAUGGAAGGCUUGCAGCCACAACCCACUGCCCAUAAGAACUCAGGGCACAUACUAAGGUAGCUCAGAGGGGUGUCUCAUUCUCUGGGGGGCCUUUGACAAACAUUUGGAGAAGCACUGUGAUAAUCAAAGUAUAGCAAUAGAACCAAAGAGGGAGGCAUUUUAAGGAUCUGUUCUCUUAGAGCUUGUGAUACUUUCUUUGGGGCACAGUAAUGUCCCAGCACAAGUGAACUAGCACUGGGCCCCCGUGGGAGCUCCAGUAAGAAGAGCUAGCAUCCUAAGACCUGAAUCUGUAGAAAUACUAUACCUGAGCUGCUUGGCUUAUCACCUGCCAUGUUUUAGAACUGAAAUGGCUUUCAUUGCCCCUGCUGCUUUUUGGGUUUUGGUGGUGGUGGAUGGGAGAGAUACUCAACAGUAUUUAUUGAACAAAAUGGACUGAAGUAGCUAGAUUCAGGUAUCCAGAACUGGGGGAUGGGGGGAUGGAAUCUCUUAAUGCAAAGCAUUAUACUGAAAUCAGUCAUUGUCAGCCAGAUACACCCCUA